AGAGUUUGAUCCUGGCUCAGGAUGAACGCUGGCGGCGUGCUUAACACAUGCAAGUCGAACGAAGCACUUAUCUUUGAUUCUUCGGAUGAAGAGGUUUGUGACUGAGUGGCGGACGGGUGAGUAACGCGUGGGUAACCUGCCUCAUACAGGGGGAUAACAGUUAGAAAUGACUGCUAAUACCGCAUAAGACCACGGAGCCGCAUGGCUCCGUGGGAAAAACUCCGGUGGUAUGAGAUGGACCCGCGUCUGAUUAGGUAGUUGGUGGGGUAACGGCCUGCCAAGCCGACGAUUAGUAGCCGACCUGAGAGGGUGACCGGCCACAUUGGGACUGAGACACGGCCCAAACUCCUACGGGAGGCAGCAGUGGGGAAUAUUGCACAAUGGGGGAAACCCUGAUGCAGCGACGCCGCGUGAGCGAAGAAGUAUUUCGGUAUGUAAAGCUCUAUCAGCAGGGAAGAAAAUGACGGUACCUGACUAAGAAGCACCGGCUAAAUACGUGCCAGCAGCCGCGGUAAUACGUAUGGUGCAAGCGUUAUCCGGAUUUACUGGGUGUAAAGGGAGCGUAGACGGCUGUGUAAGUCUGAAGUGAAAGCCCGGGGCUCAACCCCGGGACUGCUUUGGAAACUAUGCAGCUAGAGUGUCGGAGAGGUAAGUGGAAUUCCCAGUGUAGCGGUGAAAUGCGUAGAUAUUGGGAGGAACACCAGUGGCGAAGGCGGCUUACUGGACGAUGACUGACGUUGAGGCUCGAAAGCGUGGGGAGCAAACAGGAUUAGAUACCCUGGUAGUCCACGCCGUAAACGAUGACUACUAGGUGCCGGGGAGCAAAGCUCUUCGGUGCCGCAGCAAACGCAAUAAGUAGUCCACCUGGGGAGUACGUUCGCAAGAAUGAAACUCAAAGGAAUUGACGGGGGCCCGCACAAGCGGUGGAGCAUGUGGUUUAAUUCGAAGCAACGCGAAGAACCUUACCAGGUCUUGACAUCUUCUGACAAUUCCAGAGAUGGAACGUUCCCUUCGGGGACAGAAUGACAGGUGGUGCAUGGUUGUCGUCAGCUCGUGUCGUGAGAUGUUGGGUUAAGUCCCGCAACGAGCGCAACCCUUAUUGUCAGUUGCCAUCAUUAAGUUGGGCACUCUGGCGAGACUGCCGGUGACAAACCGGAGGAAGGUGGGGAUGACGUCAAAUCAUCAUGCCCCUUAUGACCUGGGCUACACACGUGCUACAAUGGACGGUACAACGAGUCGCUAACUCGCGAGGGCAAGCUAAUCUCUUAAAGCCGUUCUCAGUUCGGAUUGCAGGCUGCAACUCGCCUGCAUGAAGUCGGAAUCGCUGGUAAUCGCGAAUCAGCAUGUCGCGGUGAAUACGUUCCCGGGCCUUGUACACACCGCCCGUCACACCAUGAGAGUUUGUAACACCCAAAGUCGGUGGGGUAACCUUUUGGAGCCAGCCGCCUAAGGUGGGACAGAUGAUUGGGGUGAAGUCGUAACAAGGUA
rnacentral:rRNA from 1 species